UGGUCAGCUUGCAUGAAAUUUCAUUGGUCGAAAAUCCUGCAUCCUUUUUAUCCUUACUUAUGCGCUUGAAGGGGAGAAAAAGCCUAGUGAAUCCUGAUCUUUGUUAACUUGUCAAACAGCCUUCAACCUCUACUUCCUUUCCCUCUAGGCGCUGAUUGAGGGAGUCUCUUAGCAGAACUUUUAUUUUGUAAAUCAGAAACCGAAGCUUGACCUCUCAUCCAUCUUGACAGUACACAUCAAUUAAGAAUAACACUAGAGAGCCUCCAACACUAUCCACUACUUUCAUCUCUUCCUCCUUCCCCAAAAACCGUGACUGCCCUAAAGGAACACCAGACUUAGUCUGCAUAUAUUCUCCUAUCAUUAUCCUUCUCCGUCUUGUGAAUUGGAAGGUGACUCAAAUUGGAUUGUUUGUCUUCUAGUUGCCAAACAGAAAAAUUAGCGUUUUAUCCUAUGCAGAACGUGAGUUAGAGGAGGAAGAACACCAAGGAAACAUCAUCUAUUUUUCCCCUCCCUUAAAACAGCGAACUACUUGAGAAGAGAUCUAAAAUUGUUAAGCGUUUCCCCUUUCUUGCUUACUCAGCCGAAGCCCCAACUUAAAGAGGUGAGCGAUUUUCUCCUCCUUGUUAUCCAAACAUAAAUCGGUCCUUAAUGAGGGUUUUCUUUUGUGCAUGCAAACGAUUCUGCUUGGGUGGAGUCUGCUUCUUUAUGGCAUAACUUGAGAUCGAUUUCUUGAAACAUUAAGUGAAGGAGAUGGUUGUUCCAUGAGUGAAAUGUUGGCUGUGUGAGUCUGACAAGAGGUGCGCAUAAUUAUUAAAGUGUGGGCUGGUUUUGGUACCGUUGAUUAUUGCAUGGACACAAGGAGGACUUAGAAGCAUGUGAAGAAGUAUUUGAUGACGUGAAUUCAUGGAAAUGAAUUGAUUGAGUUUUACUGUUUGGGAUAUCCUACUGUUUAAUUAAUGUUUCUGUUGAAAGUAUAAUGUGUAUUCAGUUUUGAUGUAGCCUUUUUAGGAUGGCAUUUUAUUAUGUGUAUUCUAUCUUGAAAUGAGUUGUGACAUGAUAUUUUUAUAACGUCUGAAAUUAGAUGAUUCUAAAAAUUAAAGUGUCAAACCGAUUUCUGUUGUAUUUAAAUUCGGAGCUUUUGAACUGAUUUUGCGAGCACCUUGCGAGUUGUCGUUCUGAGGCUACAGACCUCCGAGUGAGGCAUAUUUUAUAUGUAUGGAAAGCCCCAGUUAUGUACUUUCAGA